AUUGAACGCUGGCGGCAUGCUUUACACAUGCAAGUCGAACGGCAGCACGAGUGCUUGCACUUGGUGGCGAGUGGCGAACGGGUGAGUAAUACAUCGGAACGUGUCUUAAAGUGGGGGAUAACGCAUCGAAAGAUGUGCUAAUACCGCAUAAUCUCUAAGGAGAAAAGUAGGGGAUCGUAAGACCUUACGCUUUUGGAGCGGCCGAUGUCUGAUUAGCUAGUUGGUAGGGUAAAGGCUUACCAAGGCGACGAUCAGUAGUUGGUCUGAGAGGAUGGCCAACCACACUGGGACUGAGACACGGCCCAGACUCCUACGGGAGGCAGCAGUGGGGAAUUUUGGACAAUGGGGGCAACCCUGAUCCAGCAAUGCCGCGUGAGUGAAGAAGG
rnacentral:rRNA from 1 species